CACUCAGCGAUACUUCCUGAAGCUCUAACCAUGAACGUCGCGUUUCAUAGGAAAUCACCUACAAAUUCAUAAAGAAAGAGGAAUAAGUUUCUGUUUCCUGAAUAGUGAGAGUGAGGAAGCAGAUACCAGAGACACAGGAGAAAACAACACCGAAUAGUAUCAUAAGAAGGAGACACAAUGACCAAACCACGAACUCUGAAUGAAAUGAAUGGAUUUGGUAAACCUUAUCCAAGACACGGACUCAAGCUGCUUUACUGGUUUGCUCACGACUGUCUGUAUUUUGAUGACGACAAUAAGAUGUGCUGGCAGUACGAUCCAGAGGAAAGAUACUUCGGUUUCCACCUUUUUGAAAACAGAAUUGACAAAAACGGUGAUCAACUCCUACCUGAGGUGGAGCUUGACUACUACAUGGUGGGCAAUCUGAGGAGAGCAGGAGCAGACGACCUGCCAGAUUACGUUCGGGAGGAUUAUAUCCAAAACCGUAAUCACAGCAAGAGAAACAUGGACCGCAUCAUAGUCAGCGUUGAUGAUGAGUGGUUUGACAGAGUCUAUGUGACCGAGCACAGUGAUCGGACAGAUUUCAACAAGGAAGCCACGUACUGCAUCAGCAGGGGCCUCAUUAUGAUUAUCAGACGGCUGACCUUAGAGAACUUUCUCACAGAAACUGGGUACUGGACAGAAGAGGAUUCUGAUCAGAGUUAUACAGAGGAUGAUGAUGAUGACGAUGAUGAAUAUGAUUAUGUUGUCAGAGAAAUUAGGGGCUGGACACUGGAAGCGAACACUGAUCUGAUUACUGGGUAUUCAAGACUGCCAUCGGACUCUGAUCAAAGAUCUGAGGAAGAAAGUGUCGACAGUUCUGGGGAUCAUGAUGAAUACGAAAACUGCUGCAGAUGUAUCAUACUUUAAACUCUGGGUAUAAAAGAUCAAUUAUAAAACUUGCACAAAGUGUACAGGUAUUUAAAUACAUGACUGAACUAUACCCUUCAUAUACGUUGGCCAUACAGGUAAGACCAUGUUAUAGCACAGAGUCAGAAGGCAGGGAAGGGCACAAGUCCAGGUAUGCAAAAGCUUUAUUCAGAAUUCAGGCGACUGGCAAACAGCAUAGACAGGGCAAAACAAGAGAAAACUAUUUGUUCAUGUGGACAGAAGUUAACUUGGACAUGCCCACGGUCUCAGUCCAGAUCAGUUUCUGUUUCCUGAGAAGUUAACACAUGCUGUUAGAAAGCCAGAGCAGAGACACAUCUGAAACCCACACACACUACUGAACAACAUCAGGAAAAACCUCUGGAAUAACAGCGUUUUGGAUUUUUAUCAUCAUGAUCAUGCUUCCAGCACAUAAUGUGUUUACAGUACACUUUAUGUACUUUUUUUAGCCGUUUGAGAUGAAAUGGUGGGUGGAUCCUGGCAACUAAGCACGGAUUCCUGGUUAGCAAACAAAACCCGACCAUCAGUCCUGGAGGAGUUCAGGACACAGCUCUUGCUCUCCUGAACUCUCAUUUCUGGACCUCAAACUAUUUGAUUGUUACUAUUUAGAAGAGAGAGUCUACAAUUCCAUAGAAAGGUGGAAAUCGCUCUGUUGCUGAGGAUGUCCCCACACGGACGUCCUAAAGAUCAGUGAGGUCACCGAGGAUGGUAACACUUCAAAACCAUGAAGACGGCUUUGGACUAUCAUAAGAAGGAGACACGAUGCCCAAACCACCAACUCUGAAUGAACUGAAGAGGCUGGAGGAGACUGGAUUUGGUAAACCUUAUCCAAGACACGGACUCAAGCUGCUUUACUGGUUUGCUCACGACUGUCUGUAUUUUGAUGACGACAAUGAGAUGUGCUGGCAGUACGAUCCAGAGGAAAGAUACUUCGGUUUCCACCUUUUUGAAAACAGAAUUGACAAAAACGGUGAUCAACUCCUGCCUGAGGUGGAGCUUGACUACUACAUGGUGGGCAAUCUGAGGAGAGCAGGAGCAGACGACCUGCCAGAUUACGUUCGGGAGGAUUAUAUCCAAAACCGUAAUCACAGCGAGAGAAACAUGGACCGCAUCAUAGUCAGCGUUGAUGAUGAGUGGUUUGACAGAGUCUAUGUGACCGAGCACAGUGAUCGGACAGAUUUCAACAAGGAAGCCACGUACUGCAUCAGCAGGGGCCUCAUUAUGAUUAUCAGACGGCUGACCUUAGAGAACUUUCUCACAGAAACUGGGUACUGGACAGAAGAGGAUUCUGAUCAGAGUUAUACAGAGGAUGAUGAUGAUGACGAUGAUGAAUAUGAUUAUGUUGUCAGAGAAAUUAGGGGCUGGACACUGGAAGCGAACACUGAUCUGAUUACUGGGUAUUCAAGACUGCCAUCGGACUCUGAUCAAAGAUCUGAGGAAGAAAGUGUCGACAGUUCUGGGGAUCAUGAUGAAUACGAAAACUGCUGCAAAUGUAUCAUACUUUAAACUCUGGGUAUAAAAGAUCAAUUAUAAAACUUGCACAAAGUGUACAGGUAUUUAAAUACAUGACUGAACUAUACCCUUCAUAUACGUUGGCCAUACAGGUAAGACCAUGUUAUAGCACAGAGUCAGAAGGCAGGGAAGGGCACAAGUCCAGGUAUGCAAAAGCUUUAUUCAGAAUUCAGGCGACUGGCAAACAGCAUAGACAGGGCAAAACAAGAGAAAACUAUUUGUUCAUGUGGACAGAAGUUAACUUGGACACGCCCACGGUCUCAGUCCAGAUCAGUUUCUGUUUCCUGAGAAGUUAACACAUGCUGUUAGAAAGCCAGAGCAGAGACACAUCUGAAACCCACACACACUACUGAACAACAUCAGGAAAAACCUCUGGAAUAACAGCGUUUUGGAUUUUUAUCAUCAUGAUCAUGCUUCCAGCACAUAAUGUGUUUACAGUACACUUUAUGUACUUUUUUUAGCCGUUUGAGAUGAAAUGGUGGGUGGAUCCUGGCAACUAAGCACGGAUUCCUGGUUAGCAAACAAAACCCGACCAUCAGUCCUGGAGGAGUUCAGGACACAGCUCUUGCUCUCCUGAACUCUCAUUUCUGGACCUCAAACUAUUUGAUUGUUACUAUUUAGAAGAGAGAGUCUACAAUUCCAUAGAAAAUCAUAAGAAGGAGACACGAUGCCCAAACCACCAACUCUGAAUGAACUGAAGAGGCUGGAGGAGACUGGAUUUGGUAAACCUUAUCCAAGACACGGACUCAAGCUGCUUUACUGGUUUGCUCACGACUGUCUGUAUUUUGAUGACGACAAUGAGAUGUGCUGGCAGUACGAUCCAGAGGAAGGAUAUUUCGGCUUCCACCUUUUUGAAAACAGAAUUGACGAAUACAAUGAUCAACUACUGCCUCAGGUGGAGCUUGACUACUACGAGGUGGGCAAUCUGAGGAGAGCAGGAGCAGACGACCUGCCAGAUUACGUUCGGGAGGAUUAUAUCCAAAACCGUAAUCACAGCGAGAGAAACAUGGACCGCAUCAUAGUCAGCGUUGAUGAUGAGUGGUUUGACAGAGUCUAUGUGACCGAGCACAGUGAUCGGACAGAUUUCAACAAGGAAGCCACGUACUGCAUCAGCAGGGGCCUCAUUAUGAUUAUCAGACGGCUGACCUUAGAGAACUUUCUCACAGAAACUGGGUACUGGACACUGAGAAAGGCCACUGAUCAGGGAACUAGGUAUUCGACACUGAGAACAAACACUGAUCAGGGAACUGGGUAUUCGACACUGAGAACAAACACUGAUCAGGAAACUGGGUAUUCGACACUGCGUAACGUCUCUGAUCUGAAUACUGAGUGUUCGAUACAAAUAGAGGACCCUAGUUUAUUGGAUAAUAAUAAAAAUAAAAACCGCUGGAGAUGUAUUAUACUAUAAACUCUGGGUAUGAAUGAUAAAUUAUUAAACUUACACAAAGUCUGCAGGUAUUUAAAUACAGUAAAUGACAGUGAUUUCUGUUGGUUCGAACAAAAUCUACAACACCUAAUUUCACCCCUUGGUCUAACCUAAACUGUACCCUUCCUAUAUGUUGGCCACACAAGUAAGACCAUGUUACAACACAAUGUCAGGUGGCAGGGAAGGGCACAAGUCCAGGUAUGCAAAAGCUUUAUUCAGAAUUCAGGCGACUGGCAAACAGCAUAGACAGGGCAAAACAAGAGAAAACUAUUUGUUCAUGUGGACAGAAGUUAACUUGGACACGCCCACGGUCUCAGUCCAGAUCAGUUUCUGUUUCCUGAGAAGUUAACACAUGCUGUUAGAAAGCCAGAGCAGAGACACAUCUGAAACCCACACCCAGACCAUCAGUCCUGGAGGAGUUCAGAACACAGCUCUUGCUCUCCUGAACUCUCAUUUCUGGACCUCGAACUACUUGAUUGUUGCUACUUAGAAGAGAGAGUCUACAAUUCCAUAGAAAGUAAGUUUAAAAUGAUGAUGCCAUUUCUUUUGGGGUUAACAUUACACAUUGAGUAUGUGUUUAGAUCUUACUGUUUUAUUAUAAGACUACAUUUAUAUAUAUCAUACUAUCAUUCUAUAGUAAUAUUGAAUACCACUUUGUUCAAAAGUAGAGCUGAAGAUACAGUAAGAACAUACACUGAUCUGUGGAAGCCAGUAGGAGCAGUUACAGACACAUACGAGGGGGAAUGCCAGGGAAUUUUGGUUGAUUCUUUACACUGUACAGGUCGUAUCUCUUUGAACAAUACGAUCAAUAAAAUGUACUCAGUCCUGUAAUGUCUGUGGGCAUCUGAACAACUGAAUUGCAUUUUUUAAAAUGAAAUUGAUAAAGGUGUUGUUGUUAAGAUUAAAGUAAGGCUUGUAAUAUUGUUAAGAUUAAAGUAAGGCUUGUAAUAUUGAAAGUGUUUCUAGGUAAUAACGAUAUAAUACUGAAAAUCUCUCUGAUCUAAUGCCUUUAGCAGUUUUUUAUUUUUUUUUAUUUUUUAUUAUCUGUCAAAUGUAUGUCAUUAUUCAACAUAUCGAAUACCUCCUGAUAUUUAUGUAGCUCCAAAAUAAAAGUCCUCUACAUAAUCUCAACUAUAUUGUGUAAUCAGUUAAAAAGCCGAUACACGUGACACUCAUUAUUCAAAAAUGCAUUUUUUAAAAUGAAAUUGAUGAAGUUGUUGUUGUUAAGAUUAAAGUAAGGCUUGUAAUAUUGAAAGUGUUUCUAGGUAAUAAAGAUAUAUUACUGAAAAUCUCA